GGGGGCUUUUCAUUCAUUAAUCCUGGCUAUCCACGGUUUCAUGCAUAUUAAUAUUUGUAAUAUCUUAUUGUUUAGCAUUGGUUGUUGUAUACUUUCGUUAAGAAUUGUUUCACUCGACCUCAUGAGUAAUGAACAUUGCUUCCAAGAAUUCUAGCUCUUGCAGAAGCAAUACUUUCUAUGGGUUGGCAGGAGGUUGAAUAACAUUGUUUUGUAUCUUUAGCAAUUCCUCAGUUGAAUGGGAAUAUCUCUUUGAACAAAAAGGUGUUCAUAUAACCAGAAUUGUCAACGUUGUGAACUUUACUUGAAAUGAUCACAAGUUUAAGACAUGUUGCUAUGAUGAGGGUGCAAUAUUCUCUUUUAUUAAAAUUCUAAUCUUUCAUCUCCACCGCUCCAUAAAUGACCUUGACUUCUCAUGAUCUGUUGGCGACCAAUGUUCCGUUUAAACAUGAUUCCACUAUUAUUUUCUUUUCAGUGCAGGGAAGGAAAAAUCAUCUCGAUGACAGAAUUGAGCAGGAAUAAUGGGCUCCAUUCUUCUGUUUUGCAGAUUGUCUUGGAAUCUCCUAAACCUAGAUGCAGAGAUCUCGACAUGCAUACACUGAUGAAGGGCUUCUUGUUUCUUACUGUAUUUUGAAAAAUUCAGAUGUUUACUCUUCGAUUUGGAUUGUUAUCGUUGAUUGAACAAGCUGCCCAAUCAGAGCCUGUUGCCACCUUGUAAUAGAUAAUCUCACAAAUGAUUGAUCUGCGAGGAAGUUGGAGCCUCUGGGUUUAUACUCAGGCAUUCCAUGCUGCCCAAUGGGUAUAAUUGAUUAUUGUGAAACGCAGGACCUAUUAAGCAAGCUUGCAGAAUUUGGGGGUUGGUACCAACAGCAAGACUAUUCCUGCUGUUCUAUAUGUGAACUUGAUAUGAACACAAAGUUACUUGUAAAUAUCAUACAUACAUAUACUCAUAUUUUCCUCGAUGUUCUUUACUGAACAGCAUUACAAUGAGCAUUCAUAGCACUAUUAUCCAA